UUUCCUGGGGGAGCCCGUUGUCCUCUUGCUUGUGGCAGAAUCGAACGAUCGGCAUAGAAUGAACGAUAUUUGCAAUUAUCGUCGAAGAACACAAUUGAAGCUAUUGUUCCUUUGUAAAUCCAGAAUAAAUCCGUUUGAACGAUGAAAUUUCAAUGUUAAAAAUAGACAUCGACGUUGAAAGAUGAAUGCAGAAGUAUUUGAGCGAUUUGACUUGGCUGGUUCAUGAGUAGACGCAACGAAGCUACAAAGCACCCCGACAGGACCUUAGACGCAAGGAUGUCGUUAGUAAGGCUCGUGCAAGUCGAAGACACCGUGUAGUUGAAUAAGACGGCGGAGGAAGGCGUAGCAAUAAAACCGGUUGCCAUAUCCCUCGAGCUGUUUUCCUCGUUCUUCUCCUGGGUACAAGCAACGAGAGGACACAUUCCCCGUGACAAUGAAGCCCAUCGACAGUUCCUCGUUUGUACCUUCUUCCGUAAACCGCCGAACGAUACAUUCUAUCCAAUUUUCAUCGUGAUUAUUUUUUUGAUGCAAUACGAAUGACGCC